rnacentral:lncRNA from 1 species
AGCACCACCAGAUGCCAAGUUCCCUGCAAACCAUUUCCAGUAGCCAUCUCUGUCCUUCUUGAAGUUGAACAUCCUCUUGAAAUAAUCCUUGAAGGCAAAGUUCAAAGCCUGGCACAAAUACAAGUUAAGCUUUAAGAGGAAAAAAUAAAACAAGGGGAAAGAGAACAAAAAGAUAAGUCCUUUGACCAAACUGACAUAGUAAAUACUAAAUCACACAUAUAGCAAUGUUGUCAAGAGCACAAAGUGCAUCCAUGCAUUAGAACCCCUAAAUUACUUGAACGCAUGACAUAAGAUCAAUAACCUGAGUGAUAUAAGACACGACAGGUAUAUGUGCGUGUAUUUUUAUGUAUCUAAAAAGUGGUCCAAAUUAUCUUACAAAACAUUGCAAAAUUUUUGCUUCCUUUGUUGAUCAAUAUGCAUGUUUUCCUUAUAACCCCAUGCUUGUUGAAUCCUCAAAAAUUCAAAAGCAGAAAGUUCAACAUCAUCCCUUUUCUCACUAGUAAAAAUACAGCUAAGGAUAAACAAAAACUUAAAAGGAAACUUAAUUAUGCAUAUGGCCUUAGAAAAAAAGGCAUGACCAAGUGCACCUUGCUUAAAAAUUAUCUAGAACACUUUGUUGUCUGGUGCUAAGAUCCAAUGCUUAGGCACUAGGUGCACACCUCAACAACAAUAUAGUUACAUGUGCCUCAAAAGCCUCAAUUUUUUGGGUUCGUUUCCUGCUCUCCCAACAAGAGGUGCACUGAGAUAGCAGAUAGCCAAGGGAUAUAACAGAAAACUCAGUAAAAGCAAAACUAAUAAAACACUUUAAAAGGGAUUCC